rnacentral:rRNA from 1 species
UGGUCAAGUUAUUAAGGGUGCAGGGCGGAUGCCUUGGCACUAGGAGCCGAUGAAGGACGUGAUAAGCUGCGAUAAGCUUCGGGGAGUUGCACGUAAACUUUGAUCCGAAGAUUUCCGAAUGAGGAAACUCACUUAGAGUAAUGUCUAAGUAUCAUUAAGUGAAUACAUAGCUUAAUGAGGGGAACUCAGGGAACUGAAACAUCUAAGUACCUGAAGGAAGAGAAAGAAAUUCGAUUCCGUAAGUAGCGGCGAGCGAACGCGGAUUAGCCCAAACCAAUAAAGUUUUCUUUAUUGGGGUUGCGGACAUAUCAUAACGAAGAGGUAUCGUAAUUGAAGAGGUUUGGAAAGACCCACCACAGAAGGUAAUAGUCCUGUAUGUUAAACGAGAAGACUUUAGAUAUGAUCCAGAGUACCACGGGACACGUGAAACCCUGUGGGAAGCAGGAGGGACCACCCUCCAAGGCUAAAUACUACCUAGUGACCGAUAGCGUAUAGUACCGUGAGGGAAAGGUGAAAAGAACCCCGGGAGGGGAGUGAAAUAGAACCUGAAACCCUG